GCACUCGCUUCAGCAGAACACAUAAUAAAACUGGAACGAUGUCGAGAAGAUUAGCAUGGGCCCUGUGCAAGAAUGACACACAAAUUUGUGAAGUGUUCCAAAUUAAA